CAAGGAUUAGGUAAGUUCUUCCCGCGGUAGACUUCAAAUACUCUUUGUCCUGCCCCUGCUUGGCGAAAUUUACCGAAAUUAUCUACCUAUCCCGCUGGAGUGGGAGCCGGGGGAGAGCUGGAACCGCGUCUCUGCUGCUCACCUUUGUGUCCUUAGCUCCUUCGCAUGGGGUCCGACCGCAACACGUGCGCUGGAUAAACGCUUGUUAACUGGAGCUCCCUCUUUGCCCACUAGCAGGGCAUUAGCUGGUGCUGAAGACAGUGGCUGCUUGGCGAGCCUGGAUCUCCAAGUGACUCCAAGUGACCCCCUCAGCAACUCCUGAUGAACAGGACUGAAGCCAAUAUUAAAGCAAGUCAACCAAAGAUUCUCUGGUGUAGACAAGACAGCAAAAGGACAGACUACCUUGUGGAACCUAGCAUUGUUCUCCUUCUGCAGCACUAAGUAACAUUUGUGCUCCGUUAAGAUCUUUGCAAACCACACACAAGAAUUGCUGGUCAUCCUGCCAAUAGAUGCUGCUCACAGAACCAAAUUUCCUGUGCUGAAUUGUCACUCAUGGGCUUGAGAGUAGGAGACUGGAGACCAAGGUGGCUAGAAUCCAGUUGGGCCUGAUGUCUCCCUGUUGAAAGGGCUCCUUGUGGAAUAAACAGCACAUGGCUCCCGUGGUGGAUCUGAUAGUGGCACAGCACCAAGUGAUGCAGGCCUGCCAGGGGCCACAGACACAGAAGAUGCUCCCAGGGUCCCCCGUGUACUCCAGACACACUGCAGGCCACCUCUCCCAGCAGGUUGCCAGUCAUGGGCCCCAUCAUCAUGACUUCUGUCCAAGGUGUGCUCGGAAAUCUCUUCCUUAACUGUGACUUUCUGACAGGUGGAGGAUGUGGUCAGGAGUGGGAAAAGGAUUCGAGACGGGAAGAGGGAGGGGUUCAGGAUGAAGAGAGAUAAUCUGUGCCACAGAUGCUGGCCCUGCAGUUAGCUCCCACCUAGUCCGUGCACACACAUUCUAAUCCCCUCGCAUUCCUCUACAUGCUGCAGCCAGAGAGGCCUUUCUCAAAGUGGAAGUCGCAUCCUCACUUCUCUGGUUACAGUGCUGGGCCAUGGGUAACUUACAAGGCUUAGCAGGAACUGUCUGCGCACUCCCCCUUCCUGCCCACUGCCUUGUUUCCCUCCAGUUGCGAGAGCAAACAUUGAUUGAGCAUUAACUAUGUGCCAGGCUUGUCCUAAGUCCUUUGCAUGUAUUCACUCAAACAAUCCUCACAACAUUCCUCUCACAUCUCCCAUUUCACAGUGAGGGUUCUAAAGCACGUAGUGGGUGAGGAACUUGUCCGGGGUCACACAACUAAGUGGGGGUGGAGAAACAUCAAAUCUGAGUGGUCCAGGUGGUGGCCAGAACCCAUCAGCACCUCACUACAGCUGCCUCCAGUUUCUCGCUCUAGGAAAUACUCUUCCCUGUCAACUCCUGUUGUCCUCUGGGCUCAGUUGACAUGUCAUCUCCUUGAGGAGGACAUCCUGAGAUGCUCCCCGACUAGGGUGGGCACCCACUUCCACACUCCAAAUGCCUAUUUGACCUGUGUAUCGCUGCAUCCCCACUGCCUGGCAGAUAGCAGGCCCCUAAUAAAUAUGAUUUGAGCAAAUAAAUAUAGUUCUUCAAAAAAUAGGGAGGACUUCUUGUUUCAGGUAAUGGUAGGCUAGGACAUUUGGACCAACCCUCCUGCAGAAAAUAGCCAUUUAUUUUGAUGCAAUAUAUCUGGCUAUGACUAGAGAUUUCAAAUAUUUGGAGGGCUAUUAUGUGAAGAAUUAAACUUACUCUUUGUGACAUAGAGGUCAGAAACUGGUCAUUUCCAUAGAGUAUGAGAGACACAGAAUUGUGCUCAUCAUAAGUAUCUUUUUUAAAAAUUAGACUUAAUGAAAUGGGCUGCCUUGGUAGGUGGUGAGUUCUCUGUCACGAAAGAGAUUCAGCCACUUGCUCUGAGAAAGCAUGGAGAAUAUCAACAUUGUAAGGGUCGACCACCUCAUCUCUGAGGCCCCCUCCUCACUUAGGUUGCCAUUGCAGGUGGAACACUGGGCUGAGUGUCAAAGAACCUGGGUUCCACAAGCUGUGCAACCAUGGCUGGUUGUUUUGGAUCUCAUUCCUAAUAUCUGUUAGUUAAGCUGACCCGUCGAUACUGACCCACUUCACAGAGUUAUGAAGGGAUUAAAUUAGGUAUUACAUAUAAAUCUUUGUUUUGUUUCCUUUUUGUUGUUUUUUUGUUUUGCUUUUUUCUUUGCAUUAUGGAAAUC
rnacentral:lncRNA from 1 species